GACGAACGCUGGCGGCGUGCCUAAUACAUGCAAGUAGAACGCUGAAGAGAGGAGCUUGCUCUUCUUGGAUGAGUUGCGAACGGGUGAGUAACGCGUAGGUAACCUGCCUUGUAGCGGGGGAUAACUAUUGGAAACGAUAGCUAAUACCGCAUAACAAUGGAUGACACAUGUCAUUUAUUUGAAAGGGGCAAUUGCUCCACUACAAGAUGGACCUGCGUUGUAUUAGCUAGUAGGUGAGGUAAUGGCUCACCUAGGCGACGAUGCAUAGCCGACCUGAGAGGGUGAUCGGCCACACUGGGACUGAGACACGGCCCAGACUCCUACGGGAGGCAGCAGUAGGGAAUCUUCGGCAAUGGGGGCAACCCUGACCGAGCAACGCCGCGUGAGUGAAGAAGGUUUUCGGAUCGUAAAGCUCUGUUGUAAGUCAAGAACGGGUGUGAGAGUGGAAAGUGCACACUGUGACGGUAGCUUACCAGAAAGGGACGGCUAACUACGU
rnacentral:rRNA from 1 species